rnacentral:lncRNA from 1 species
GUCAGACCUAGGCUCUCGCAGAGAACUGCAUCGCGCUCCCAGCUCUGCUGCCUCGGUGCGGGGACGGGGCUCUGCAUGAGGACUGGGAAUGUAAGUCCCGGGCCUGGACAGGCGCCCCUGGGAGCUAGCCUGGAGGAGAUUCAGUAGAAGGCUGAGGAGUCGGCUUGGAGGGUCUCGGCAAGGCGGCGCGGAUGGAGAUGAAGCUGCGAAGAAUGCUGAGAAAGAGCGGCCGGGGGCCUUGGAGGGAAGCUAGGGAAACGCUGCGGGGGCAGCCGAGGCCGUCGGCGCCCCGGGAGAAGGUGCAUGUGGAGUGGCGCCGGGGGGACGGGUGGGCGCUGGGCGGCGGCGGCGCCGGCCUGGAGGUGCGGCCUGGGCUCCUUCCGGACCCGCCCGGCCGGCGCAGGGGCUGCAGCCUCCACGCGGGGGCCUUCGGUUCCGCCUCAACUUUCCAACCGGGCCGCCUUCUCCCAGGGCGGGUGACUGAGCCGGGCACACGCAGCCUCUCCCGCGCCGGGCUGCCCCGGCCAGGGUCUUUCCUCCCUCGCCCAGUCGCUGCCCUCUCCUUUCCCGCAGCCCGCGGGGCCUGGGCUCUCCCUGCCAGCUCCUCCUGUGUCCACUUCAGCCUUCCCGGUUCCCCAGGCAGCCUGUCCUGCCGGUCACUCCGUCUCCCACCUGCUUUGCCGGGAACUAGAGCACACACCACACAGGAGGCGGGAGGGGGGCGCAAGAGGUGGGUGUUGGAGGCGGGGGUGUGGUGUGGCUGUGGUGUGAUGUGUGGUGUGUGGUGUGUGUGUGUGUGGUGUGGUGCAUGUGGGGUGUGUGUAGUGUGUUGUGUGUGGUGUGUGUGGUGUGUGUAGUGUGUGGGGUGGUGGGUAUGUGUGUGGGGUAUGUGGUGUGUGUGGUGUGUGUAGUGUGUGGGGUGGUGGGUAUGUGUGUGGGGUAUGUGGUGUGUGUAGUGUGUGUGUGUAGUGUGGUGUGUGUGUGGUGUGUUUGUGCGGUGUGGUGUGUUUGGUGUAGUGUGUUGUAUGUGUGGGGUGUGUGCGUGUGGUGUGUUUGGUGUAGUGUGUGUUGUGGUAUGUGUGGUGUGUGGGGUCUGUGUGGUGUGUUUGUGUGGUGUGGGGCGUGUUUGGUGCGUGUGGUGAGUUUGGUGUGUGUUGUGGUAUGUGUGUGGGGUGUGUGUGGUGUUUGUGUGUGGUGUGUUUGUAGUGUGUGUGGGCUGUGUGUGUGGUGUGGUGUGUUUGGUGUGUGGGGUGUGUGUGGCGUUUGUGUGUAGUGUGGUGUGUGUGGUGUGCUGUGUGUGGUGUGUUUGUGUGUGGUGUGUUUGUGUGUGUGGUGUGUAUAGUGUGGUGUGUGUAGUGUGUUUGUGUGUGUGGUGCGGUGUGUAUGCGGUGGGCGUGUGCAGAAACAACAAGCCCCUGCUCCGCAUGGGGUGUGGAGCAGAUGCUGCGGAAGCCGCCUGGCCUGUGGGCGUUGGCAGUGGGGACCAGCUGACCCAGAGACUCCGCGCUUCCCCGCGCUUCCCCCACCCCCGCCCCACUGCGGCGCUCCGGGGCUCACUGAGUUCCGAAUCCACCUCCUGGGAUCCGCGCCCUGGCUACCAGGCCCUGAGCCUUCUGCGGGCCAGCGAGCUCCCGCCAGGUUCUGCCAACAGGGGGCCCCAGAGGGCGGCGUGGUGGCCGCAGAUCGCAGGACAGGAGCCUGUUCCCGUCAGCAGAGCCCCAAUAACCCCCCGGACUCCCAACGGUGGCGCGGUCAUGCCCAGUUUUCUAGCUUGCUUCAUGCACUCCCAGGACCUGCCUGCCCACAUCCCGCCCGGGCCGGCUGGUCCAUCUCGGAGAUUUGAGUCCAGCUCUCUGGGAGGCCCCAGGGCCAGGCAAGUGCAGAGGUCCGGUUCCACUCCCCAGGGCCCCUUCUCCAGCUUCCAGGACCUCGGUUCUCAGAACCCUCAUGACUUCUCUUUGCUCUUUAGAGACCUUCACUGCUUCUAUCAGUCACCAUAUCUGAAUCUUGGCUUGCCACUCAAUCCUCCAAUAUCGACCAACAACAGGAGAUUCUCUCUAUCUGAGGGGGGAGGUGUGUUUCCCUGACUAGACUCUAAAUACAAAUCCUCCACUUCUCCAUCUGUCUCUCCAGUGAUCUCAGAGGCAUGGUCUUAACACCGCGCACAGUUCCUUGCAAGUUGAAGAGUAGACCCAAAUGAUCAGUUCUAAAAUUCUAUUCUUAUUGAAGAUUACUGGUGGAAAUAUCAAUGCAAACAAAAUGAAAAAGUUCAACAAUGAUUAAUACUGCAUUUCAACAGAAGAAUCAAAUCAUCUUGACAAAACUUCAAUGGGCAAAAUUUGCCUUGGGGAAUUUUAUGCAGGGGAAUCCUUGGGUCUGAUGUGUGGUGGGCUUUGGAUGUGUUGUGUAGCUCAGUGUCCCUUCCUGCUACUCCUAGUCAUCUCCAGAAACUCAGACCACCCAUCUACUAAAGGCAGGUGGAUGAGCAAGGGGGCCUCGGAGGCAUUCCGGAUCACACUGAACCUGAGCCCCACCGCCUGACCCACUCAGUGUCACUGUUAACAGAAACUCGCUGCCAUCUGGCCUCAGGCCUGCCUCCUUCCUAUAGAACUUGACACUGGAAGCACCAGGCGAGCUGGACCUUCUGCUGCUACUGCACUCCCAUGAUGCAGCCUGAGAAUGAAGCCCACCAGAGUGACAGAGAGCAGACCUGAGUGGUGAGCUGGUGACACAGGGUGUGGGUGGUGUCCCUUGAGCUUCGACACCACGCCACACCUGAAACCAGCCUGACAUCCAUGAUUUUGCUUUUUUGCUUAAACCAGUCUGCGUCAUUUUCAACAAAAGAGUUCUACUAGAUAUGACAAAUUUCUCUAGAAGACCUAAGAAGUGAAAGACUUGAAGCUAUUCCAGUGGUUCAGGAACUAGGACACUGGUAGGAAACUGGAAAGAAGGCAUCAGAGUUAAGGAAAUAUUUAUGAGGUCAACUCUGGAAGUCUUGGUUACUGAGUGAAUACAGUGGCUGAGAGGAAUGGAAGCAUCCAACCAAAUAAAAAAAGAUGGUGCUGAGAUUUGGGUUAUGAGGUCAAUGACUGAAGCAAUGCGAUUAACUGAGUUAGGAGUCUCAAAUAUAGGAUGAGUGCAGAGUUGAGGAUGAAGAAUUCUGCUUUGGACACAAUGAGUGUGAGGUGCCCAAGGAUAACCCAACGGGAAGCAGUCACACCAAAGCAACAGGGUGUGCACCUGAAACUCAGAAGGGUGAUUGGGCUAUGGUGAAGAUUCCUGAUCACCCAUAAAUGAAUUCAUUAAAAGCAUGAGAGUGAGUGGAGGGGCCCCUAGAAUAUGGUGGGUGCAUGAGACUAACCCUAGAUUGGGGAUAGCUCCCUGGGAAAUCCAAGGGACAAGGUGAGGAGGAGGAGGCGGAGCCCACCAAGGAAACUAGAAAGAGACCGCUGGAGAGGUCCGAGGACAGCAAGGAGCACAGCCUUCAAGUCUGGGAGCCAACUAUCCAAGAAGAGAGUGGUUUGCUAUGGAUGCCGUGGGCCACCACGUCCCAUCUAGGAAAGCAAGUUGAGGUCUCUCUUGAAUACAUUGGGAUUGAUUACCCAGACUUUAAAGAAUCUAUGUCCCCUACUUCCCUUCAUUCACUCUGCUCUUUACCUUCUCCUCUUCCCUGGUCACCAGCACCUCUGCUAAAGGGUGGAGAAAGGAACUUCUGAUCAGUUACAGAAAAGCUUUGGGGUUACGUGGUGCAAGCUGCUCUGCCUCUGUUUGUGAAGAAAUUAGACUAUGGCCAGCCAUGUGAGUGGCAUCACUUUGGUUUCUGGAGCAAUAGUUAGUAGCAACUUUUAGAGGUGGUCAUUUCGGUUCCCUUCUGGAAAGUGAUUCGUGUUUAAGAAAAAUAGAUGCAACGUUGCUAAGUACACCUAACAUUUAAACAGUCUCCAGCAGAUAAAUGCUGAUACUGACACUUCUCACCAGAAAAAGAGAAAUACCCAUCAUGAGGAAGAGAAAUGACUUUUGUUCAGUUAUGCUCCCGGGUCCCCUUUCACUGGAGGGAUAUCUCAGCUUUCUGAGCCCCUGGUUACUGCAAUCCUCGGUUCCAGAACCCAGCAAUUCCUAUCAUCACAAUUGUUUCAAGUCUUAUCCAAGCCCUGUAUAUUUCAGAUCAUCCUUAAUUUCUUGUUCUGUACCCAGAGGAGAUCAGGAAAACCUUUAAGUCUCUAUGUGAGGCAAAUACAUCCUCCUCACUGCCCCAGCCCCAUGUGAUUGAUGAAGCAACUGAGGAAGAGAAGUAGGGUGCUUCUGGCACUGGAGGAGCGCAGUGCUGAGAAACUCCGGGCUCCAUUCGGAAAUAGCACUGAUUUCUUAGUGUACUUUUUUUUGGUGUUAAUAUAGAAAACAUCAAAAACACAGUUAAAAGAAUGAAGCAUGUCUACAUACGUGUGGCCAGAAAGACUGACCAGAAGCUGGUAGCAGUGAGGGAUGACAGUGCUUGCCCCUGGGUUGAAUAGUGGAAGAGUUAGGGGGGAAACAGUCUGCUCUUUGAGACCCUUUCAAUUUCAUGUGAUGGAUUUACAGAGACAGAUGAAUUAAACAUUAUAUAAAAAAGGAAUAAAACCACUGGUAGGAUCUGUAUUCCAGGAAGAAAAAAGCAUAUUACAUAAUAGGUCAAUGCACAGAAAUAAAAAAAGGAAUUUAACUAGAGCCUAUGCUAAUCAUAAAUCCCUUCCCUGUUCCAGAGUCCUGUUGUCUCUGGGGUCUUGGCCUGUCUUAUCUAGGCCAUGGAGUGGUGGGGGUGGGAUGCUGCUAGUUCCUAGGCAGGAAAUAGUGGCCAGUUACCCUUGUGGUGUCAUUUCUGGGUCCUGGAAAGGAGACCACUGCUGACCCCUGACUCACCAACCAACAAUUAUUGAUGGAAAUCCCACCGGCCUCCCCGGACAAAGGCAGCCCAGACCUGGACUCAUUCACAUGUAAAGGAAGUGGCCAGAAGUGGCUGCUGUUGGCAGGGGUGAGGGACGGGAGAGCGCGCUAAGUGGCCUGUGUCUGUGGGGGAGGGAGAGGGUGGAGCAGCACAAGCCGGCCUGAGGUUAGGAGCCUGCGGUAUCUCCAGGAAAGCAGAGGCGGCUGUGGGGGGCGCCGGGGCUGAAGAGCCAAGUGUGGAGACUGCUCCAUCUUGCCCAUCUCCAGAAACUCAGACCACCCAUCCAUUAAAGAGAAAAGCAGCCUGAUUCGGAGGAACGGGUUGCUUGGGGCGGCUCCCAGCUCGAGUUGUGGGCCCCGCCGCGGGUGCCCUUCGGAAACGCGCUGACACCAGGCGAAGCCGCCUCUGCCCGGACGCAGCCCGACACUUGGCCCGCGGGGUUCCCCGGGACGCCUGAGAGUAAUGGGCGCGAGGGGGAAAGCCGAACGGCCUCCCUGUGCCCGGCGCAGGCGGUGCCCCCUAGCUGGGUUCGCCGCGGCGGCGCUGCGAGCCCCCGACACUGAGGACUUUUGGUCCAACAGUCCGACGGGGCCCGGUGCGCCGUUCCCUCCGCCCUCUCCCCGCUCCCCGGCCCGCGCGUCUUGGAGGGUGGGUGAAUUGUCGGAAGCACUCUACGCCUGGCCAACCCAAACCAGGAACCUCCGCACCAAACAGCCCACGUUGCUGCUGCUCUGGGGUUUUAACGGCCAAGGGAGACUGGAGAAGGGGUGUUCUGCCUUCCCAUUCUCUUAGGCCCGUCCACUCCCCAUCCCCACAGUUUGGAAGUGGCCUUUUCUGAGGACUCCAGCGCAAAGCAUGUUUCUCCUUUUGAGCUGCGGAAGCCUUGCUUGUUCCCGCCAUUGGGAGGGCAUUCCAUCAUCUGCAGCUGCCUUCCUCGGUGGGCCUUGUCCCUUAGCGUCCACCUAGGGGACAUUCUAAGCUUCUUGAGACCUGCUUGUCCACCCCAACAUGUCUCAGCAUAUGGCUGUGCCCUAAGGGGUCUUUGAGGGCAUUUUAGGAGGUGAGCGGCGCCCCUACCUGGGCUCCGCGGGGCCGAUUCGGUUUGCCCUUUGCUGGCAUGUCAGUGAAUUAACUGCUGUCCUUGGGAUGACCUGCCCUAUGAUUUGGCCUCUGGAGCAUCCCGGGUGUGUAUUUCAGAACUCCUCCCAUCUUAUCCACCUGCUGAAGGCCUGGCCCCCUGAUAUGGUUUGGCUCUGUUUCCCCACCCAAAUCUCACCUUGAAUUUUAAUAAUCCCCACGUGUCAUGGGCGGGACCAGGUGGAGGUAAUUGAAUCAUGGAGGUGGUUUCCUGAACGCUGCUCUCGUGACAGUGAGUUCACAAGAUUUUUUUUUUUAACGGAGUAUCACUCUGUCACUCAGGCUGGAGUGCAGUGGCGCGAUCUUGGUUCACUGCAACCUCUGCCUCCCGGGUUCAAGAGAUUCUCCUGCCUCAGCCUCCCGAGUAGCUGGGAUUACAGGUGCGCGCCAUCACGCCCGGCUAAUGUGUAUUUUUAGUAGAGAAAGGGUUUCACCAUGUUGGUUAGGCUGGUCUGGAACUCCUGACCUUGUGAUCUGCCUGCCUCGGCCUCCCAAAGUGCUGGGAUUACACGCGUGAGCCACUGUGCCCAGCCGAUCUGAUGCUUUUAUAAAGGGCUUUCCCCGUCCCCCUUCCUCUCUCUCACCACCCUGUGAGAAAGGUGCCUUUCUUCCCCCUUCACGUGAACUGCCUCCAUGAUUGUAAGCUUCCUGAGGCCUCCCCAGCUAUAAGGAACUGUGAGCCAAUUAAACUGCUUUAUAAAUUAACCCAGGUAUUUCUCGGGUAUUUCUUCAUAGCAGCGUGAGAAUGGACUGAUACACCCCCAAUGUGGAGUAGGGGAAGCUGAGGGAGUUAGGAGGUCCCAGCAAGGUGAAGGUGUGAUGGGGUCUUGGGACAGUGAGAGUGCUGCCUCAGGCAACAGUGGGCAGGUCAUUGAGGCUCCAUUGAGCUUGGUGAGCAGGAAGCUGAGAGAGGGAGCUGUCGAUUCAGGAGUCAGGGGUGACAUGGAAGGAACCUAGGGCUUUGCCAGGCACAGGUGAAGGAAGGCCACUUAGGUACUGGCAGUGGGAAGAGAGGGCAGGGAGUGGUGGACGGAGAGGAAGAGAAAGCUGAACACUGGAGCACAAUGCGGGUGCUGGGAGGCAAGCAGAGGGGGCUGGGGGCUUCUCAUAUGGUGCAUCCUGGCAUUUAUAUUUUGAAAAAUAAUUGUUUUGUUCCCAUUAGUGCUUUUAUAAUAGUUUUAGGAAAGAAGAGAAAAUAUGAAUUAGCUAUUAUGAGGCUUCUUUUGAAGUUUCUUUCAGUUCAGAAACAUAUCCCACUUUACAAAAAAAUUAAGAAAAUUCAAAGUUAAAAAAUGUAGGGAGGCCAAUAAUUUUAGUUGCCAGACAUUUUAGUCUGACAAGACAACUCAUUGGAGUUUCCUUAGAGACGUAUUAGAAAUUCAGAGCUGCACACGCAUUUUUCCCCCUGCCAGAUAAACUGAAACAACAUAAAGUGAGUUUUAGUUAUUUCUUUCAACGAGACUGCGAGGCCUAUUUAGCUAACGAAAAAGAUAUCUGUAGAAAGAAGCAUUCUUGAUUCUUAUCUACAAGACAGAGCAGCAAAAAACCAAGAAUGUCAGAUGAGUAUUAUCUCUGUCCAUGGCAGAAAGGUAUCAUGUUGGUAUAAUUAAGAUUGGUCUUAAUGGAAACUUAGGCAAUAAAUAUAAACAUCAUAGUUUAACCUGCAGCAAAGCAAAUAAAAUACAUGAAAUAUAAUAGAAAAACAAUGCAGGCAAAGGCAGGCAGAUUGCUUGAGUCCAGAAGUUCGAGACCAGACCUGGGCAACAUGGCGAAACCCUGUCUCUAAAAAAAAAAAAAAAAAUGCAAAAAUUAGCCGGGCAGGGUGGUGCACAUCUGUGGUCCCAGCUACUUGGGAGGCUGAGGUGGGAAGAUCCCUUGAUCCUGGGAGGUCGAGGCUGCAGUGAGCUAUGAUUGCGCCAUUGCACUCCAACCUAGGUGACAGAGUGAGACUCUGUCUUACAAAAAAAGAAAAACAAUGCUAUGUGUGAAUUUUUUUCCAAUCUUUUAAUAAGGAAAAUGUUUUUUUCAAAAUAAUGGCUUAUAUGGAGUGUCAACAUAAAAACAAUAUAAUUUCAAAUUGAUAAGUAAAAUAUAGUCAGCAAUCUCACAUACAUCAAAAUUUGGUAUAUAACACACAUUCUGGAGAGGUGUUGCUUUUGGUCUUACUUUUUUUCCAUUUUUAAAAUUGUAAAACACAUACAAAAUUUAGCAUUUUAAUGACUUUUAAGUGUACACUUCAGUGUCAUUAAAUUCACAUUGCUGUGCAACCAUCACGACCAUCCAUCUUCAGGCCACUUUGCAUCCUGUGUAACAGAAACUCUACACCCAUUAAUAACUCCCCUUUCUCCCCUCCCUCCAGCGUCUAGCAACCACCAUUCUACUUUGUCUCUAUGAAUCUGACUAAUCUAGGUACUUUAUAUAAGUGGAAUCAUACAGUAUUUGUCCUUCUGUGUCUGAUUUAUUUCACUUUGCAUACCGUCCUCAAGAUUCAUCUAUGUUGUAGCACGUGUCCGAAUUUCCUUUCAAGGCUGAAUAAUAUUCCUGUGUGUGUAAUAUUUUGCUUAUUCAUCGAUAGGUACUUGGAAUGCUUUCUUCGUGUUGUAGCCAUUGUGAAUAAUGCCACUAUGAACACAGAUGUUCAAAUAUGCGUGGACAUUUUUAUAGGAAUGUAACAACAACAAAAAGCACACAGUGGGCUCCAUCAUGAGCUCAGCUGCAUACAGAGAUGGGGGGCGCUGGAAGUCGUGGUGGGGCAACUGAAGCACCUCUCUGGAAAUACUGUGUCCCAGGGGGACAGAAGGUCAGGCAGGUGGGUCCUGCCCAGGGACAAACCUGACAAUCACUGGCACAUCAGAAUUCCUGUGAAACUGCAAAAACAAAAAGGGUGCCUGUGCUGAGCCCUAGACCCCCUGAUUCAGUCUCUUGAUGAGGACCCUGGACAUGUGCAUGCUUAAAAGCCUCUCCGGAGGUUCUGACUUGCUACCCUUGGGGCUGGGAACCACACAGCCUGGGACUUGGGAAGGAAGGGCGAAUCUGUCUUUCCUCCUAGGGGCAGAGAGUAACUAUCAGAUGCACUGUUUUCCUAGAGAAACCCUGCAAGACCCUGAGGCAAAAUAGCUCUCCUGGGGUGGCCCUUUAGCCAAGCAAAAGUGAGAUGUUCUUCCCUCCUGCAACAAAUACCAAGUGGAGCCAGCCGUACAUGCCACAGUGUACAGGGGCUGUCACCAAGAGGAAAGUGGCUUAUGAACCAUCCCAGUAAGGCCUCCUAGAAGCACUGGGCAGAGGAUGCUUUGCAAUCUCUGGUGGAAGAUGAAACCAGAAACAAGUCUGUAUCCGUGAUGAUGGAAUGAGCAGCAGGCAAGGAGCCUAGAAAGUGAUGGGCACUCUUGCUCUUUGAAGGUGUGUGCCUGUCAUUGGGGCUGACAGGUUCAGUGACAUCCUCGGUGAGGCCUAGAUCCUAGAUCCACUGUUAGCUGGAUUUGUGACAUAAAAAUCCUUCACAUGCAAACAAACAAACAAACAAACACACAAAAAAACCUUUAAGGCAGGCAGUGAUCCCCAUUCCUUUGGAUUUUAUAGACCAGUAAGUGUCAAAUAAAACUUCUGGGACUGACAUAUGAUUACCAACUUUUAUGUAAGGACAAUGAAAAAGACCAAAAGGUAUGAUCUACCAUCAUUUCAAAAAAGAGGGCUAUUUUGAUAUCAUAAAAGAAGGAUAACUUCAGAAUUUAAAAGCGUACACAUUGAACUUUAAUUAGAAAAUAACCGUGUAUUUCCUGUGGCUUUCUCAUUUUCUGUGGAAGGAUGAAAAGUUUAUCAUCAUCUCUGCAAACUAAGGCUUCUUUGCCUUGAAUACUUAGGGGCAGCUGCACCAUUUGCAGAUGUUAUUUAUUUCCUUGAAGAGGUGUUUUCAGGGCUGUAAGAGAACCCUGAGGAAUUCAAGUGCAAAAAUCUCUUGGUAUCUUGCCUCAGUUUCCAAUAUUAAUAGCUGUGUGGUGAGUGUUCAGCCAGAAACGGUAUCAUUGCUUAAGUAAAAAAGAUUGUGGCAAGUAGCAUCAUGGAAACAAAGUUGAAAGGUUUUCUUAGAAAUGAUCUCAUCUCUGUGGUUUUCAAAUUAGUGCUCCAUGGAGCCACAGUGGUGUUGCUUGAAGCAACAGACUUGCAUUUUAAUUGUUUUACUAGUUAAGUUUCUGAUUAAGAUACAGUUCAGUUGCUUUAAGAAAAUGGCUGACCACCACUGAUCUAAUCCAUCACCAAUUUAAAGGGGAAACUAAGGCUAAAAGGAGGUAAGGGAUUUGCUUGAGGCCACCCAUUUAGUUAGCAGAACUUGGUGACACAUCACCAGUGGAGUGGGGGUAGGAAGGAUCUUGUCAAACCUUCCUAGUGUCUGUUCUCAGGUCAUCAAUGGUUGUACCAAAUCUUUCCAUCACUCCAUUGCAGGGAGUCCACUCCACCUGACAGUUUCCGUUCUGAAACAGGCUCCUUUUCAUACUGGACUCUGCAUUCCACCUGACACACUUUCCUACAUAAUAGUGAUAAAUAUUUCACUGACAACUGUUGGAAACUAAUUUUUAAACUCCAGUUCUGCAUUUUUGCUCCCAUUUUGACUACUAUUGAUAAAAGUUUCCUUUUUUGAGAUGGAGUCUUGCUCUGUCACCCAGGCUGGGGUGCAGGGGCACAAUCCUGGCUCACUGCAAGCUCUGCCUCCCAGGUUCACGCCAUUCUCCUGCCUCAGCCUCCCGAGUAGCUGGGACUACAGGCGCCCACCACCACGCCUGGCUAAUUUUUGUAUUUUUUUUUUUUUUAGUAGAGACGGGGUUUCACCGCGUUAGCCAGGAUAGUCUCGAUCUCAUGACCUUGUGAUCCGCCUGCCUCGGCCUCCCAAAGUGCUGGGAUUACAGGCGUGAGCCACUGUGCCCGGCCUAAAAGUUUCUUUAAUAGCAUUUAUUGGCUGGGCAUGGUGGCUCACACCUGUAAUCCCAGCACUUUGGGAGGACAAGGCAGGUGGAUCGCUUGCAGCCAGGAGAUUGAGACCAGCCUGGCCAACAUGGUGAAACCCCAUCCCUACUAAAAACACAAAAAAAUUAGCUGGGCGUGGUGGCACGCACCUGUAGUCCCAGCUACUCGGGAGGCUGAGGCAGGAGAAUUGCUUGACUCGGGGGGCGGAGGCUGCAGUGAGCCAAGAUCGAGCCACUGCACUCCAGCCUGGCGACAGAGUGAGACUCCGUCUCAAAAAAAAAAAAAAAUGUUUAGCUGAGUGUGGUGGUACACACCUGUAAUCCUAGCUACUCAGGAGGCUGAGGCAUAAGAGUUGUUUGGGAGGGAGGUGGAGGUUGCAGUGAGCCAAGAUCAUGCCACUGUACUCCAGCCUGGGUGACAGAGUGAGACUCAAUCUCAAAAAAAAAAAAAAAAAAAAAAAAACUGUACAUAUAUGAAGACUAUAGAGCUAAUAUUUAUAUGAAUAUCAUAAUUUACAAGGUAUUAAAAUGUUUGAACUACAUUGUCUUGUAUAUAAACUGAAAUGAAGUGGUAUCUACUUACUGGAGUUCCUCAGAUAGCUGAUCACAUUGUAGGCUGAAAACAUCUACAAGUCAAGUCUAUCAAGGACCAUAUCAUGCACUCAUUGUGUAGAAGGCCCCUCAAUGGCAAAACAUACCAUCUGGUAAGUCUGGACACAACUCAGCUGCACAGAGCAAACAAAUGACGAACUCAUAUAAUUUAAAACAGCGUUUUCACACUGUGGAUCUUAACCAUGGGCCAUGAAAUUCAAUUCAGUGGGUUGUGAGAGGAUUAACACACACACAAACCCACUGCCCUACCAAACACAAUCCUAGAAGAGAAAAAUGUCAAAGUAUGUUACAUGGCUUAUGAGUAAAUAUUUCAUAAACAUUUUAUUCCAAUCAUAUAUGUACGAACACAUAUGUACUGAGUCAUGACAUAAAUUUUACAAUUCUCUAGGGCAAAACAUUGCUCUAAAGAAAAGCAUACUUGGCCGAUCAGUCCCUUGAGAAGACUUUUGUUUUUGAUUUUUUGUUCACUUCUGAGCAAUGACUCUACAUCCUGAGUACACGGAAGCCCUCUCUCCUCAACUUGAUAGCAGUGCUCUUUAGCACAGCCAGUUCCCGGCUCAGGCUGUUUUCUGGAGGGAUGUGUCCUCCUCUUGCAGCCCUGUGAACUAACUGAAGGACAGCUGCAGCGGUGCAUCUGAACCUGCAGCGGAGGCAGCUCAGGUCCUGCCUACAGCAUGCACAUGUGAUGCCAGGGGCUUUCCACCAUGAUUUUUCACUGACAUGAUUUCCUUUCAUUCACCGGUAGCUCUGCCUUACCUGUAGAGCUCAAGCUCCUAGCACAGAACACAGGGGCUGAGUAAAGGCUUCUAAAUACAUGCAUUCAACAAUAAGCACAUUCAUUUUGCUAUAAACCAUAAAUAUUACACUCAAAAUAUAACAGUUUCUAACAAAAUAAAAAGUUUACCCAUUUCUUCAUACUUAAGAACUACAAAAGUACUAUACAAACCUUUAUUUACAUUAAAUCACAAUAGGUACAUAAAAAGUUGAGGCACUGGUAUCUGUGGCUAAUGGUAGUAAUCACAGCUCAUAUAGUAAAGUGUAUAACAUUAACCUUUUAAUUUUGAGCUGUUGCAAAAUUACCAUUUUAAUAUUAUAUAUACCAUAUAUUCAGUACCAAUUAUGACUUUUUUCUAAAAUAAUAAUAGAACAUGAUGCCCAGGGAAAAAGAAAAUACUUAAUAACUUUCCCAAGUGCUAGUAAAAAACACAUUGGUAUACACCUGAUUUGAGGGGCAGACAUGAUUCAGCCUAUGAGCCAUUAGGAGAGCGAAGCAAAGCUUUUUUAAACUGGAAGGACACUCAUGCUGAUUCGGUACAGACUCUUCAUCUUUCAUACUGGGAAACAAUGCUCACCGGGGCAAGUGUCACAUCAUUAUGUAAUAUAGUAAGAAAGAUGUCCCAGGUCUCCUAUUAACAAACCUAGAAUCUUUUCUAAUUCAUAACAGAGGUUUAUACUAUAAAUACAAUCAUAUUCUUGAAAGAUCAAAUCAAAUAUCAAGAAAAACAGAUCCAUGACAAUACUUUAGACUUCAAAAAAUCCUAAAGCAAUAAUUUAAUAAAAAUAUAUGUCAACAACUGUGUUCAAGAUAAUAGAAUCAGUGUGGAAUCCAGUGCCGUAAACAGUGAUGGCAGCAGUUUACUGGUGCAGUAAUUCAUUUAUAUGCUUAUGUGGUACUCUGUGUAUUGGUUGCGUUUUCAUCUGUAUCACUUGGGCUAAAUUUCUUCCAUAAAAAUUUCUCAUUUGAUUUCCAAAGAGAAGUUGCUGGCUCUUCUCUCCUUUUAAAGGGUGCUGCUAGAGGUGCUUUUUCACACAGAGUCUCUAUUACUGCCAAGUCUGUGAGUUUACUAAGACUCUCAUCAUUCUGCUCAUUCAAGAUGUCCCAGAAAUCUUUUGGUCUCUGUUUUGCUUUUUCCAUGGGCCCUGAAAGAACUUUCUUUGGCAGUUGUGUGGGACUGUUCCCAUGACUUUUAAAAAGGUCAUCAAGAAUAGAGGUAUCACCAAGUAAGCUUAUCACAGAAGUAUUUUCCAGCACUGGAUUUUCUAUCUUUUUGUUUUCCAAUUUGAGAAGGGGUUCUUUUCUUGAAAUGCCCGUUCUUGUGAGGUCCUGUUGGUCUUUCAUGGUAUUUUCUAACCUUCUCUCACGUGUUUCAGACUCACUGUUCAGAGAACGGGAUGUCACAGUAUCUUCGGAUGCCUGGCUGUUUUUCCCACUGUCAAUCUCUUGAGUAGAACUAACAGGUGAUUUCUUAGUUUCUGCAUCAUUAAAAAACACCUCUUCUCUAUAGGAAAUAUGAUUCUGAAACUUAACUGAUUUUCUUUUAUAUGUUUUUAGGCUGCAAACUUGAGAAAUUUUGUUGGUAGAAUCUUUAAAUGACAAGGUUUCAGAAUCUGACAGCCUUGGUUUUAUAAGAGAUUCUCUUUUAUCAGAUUUCUUCCGGGUGCGCUGCUCUCCUUUCUCAAAGGAAGAAUUGUUGAAUUGUGACACAGAAUCCACAAAAAAUUCUUUUACCUCUGGAUAUUGAGAAGCAUAAAAGUCUCUUAGCAUUUUCUGUCGUUCUUCUGAUGUGGCAUUGGUUAUAUGUUUAGCAAAUUCGUUUACAGAAGACGAGUUAAAAUAAGAGGCCAUUUCUUCAAAUUGUUUUCUAAAGAUUAAAUGAACAAAACUAGUGGUUAUUUUCAUUACAUUUUAUUUUGAAAGAACUCAUCACCAGUAAGAGGAAAUGUAGAGUCCACAGAAGGUAAUCUUGUUCCUUUAGCAUACGUCUGCUGAAUUCCACAAUGAAAACGCAUUUUAUCCUAGUAGAGUGAGGCCUCUACCCUUAUGCUACUGAGAAAAGUAUUUUAGCUCACAAAAUCACCAGCUUUGUAAGUUAUUUUGAUUUAUGCUAUUAUAUUAGGUAUUUCCUGGGAAUUAUGGAGGCCCAGCAUGCUACUCCUCCUUUGAGCCAAUUUAUGACUGACAUGAGGAUCAUGAUUUAUAGACUCUGUACUUGAAAAUCUAUAUUGUAUUCAAGUCUCAUGAAAUGAAAUUGUCAAAGAAUCUUAACGAAAAGAGCAAAUUCUGAAAAAUUAAGAAAGACAUUUUUUUCCCUUCCCUCUCCUUUUCCCCUUCUUUUACAAAUACAACAUAGAAAUCGCACAAGACUUUUUGAUGAGCCCAAAGGAAAGUUCUAAACUGAUAAACCUAGACUAUUUUUUCCCCAGUUGGCAUGGACACCUAAGCUAAGGAGUGAGAUGCUAUUAGAAGAAAUGUGUUGUAUUCUUAGUGUAAGAUACUAAUAAAAGCUGUUGUAUGCAUGUAUGAGGAAAUGGGCCUUCAAGAACCUUGGUAAGAUAGAGGCAGAAAGAUUUAGGGACCUGGGCAAUGAGCCCUGCUCCUUUCCCUAAAUGAGGGUGCCAUGGACUAAACUGUGCCCCUCCCCCAAAUCAUGCAGAAGCCCCCUAACCCAGGACGUAACAGUAUUUGGAGUUAGAGCCUUCAGGAGGUAAUUAAGGUUAAAUGAAGUCAUACGGGUGGGACCCUGAUCCAACAGGAUUAGUGUCCUUAGAAGAGAUGCCAGAGAACCCACACAGUUUCUUUCUCUUCUGUCUCUUCCUCUCUGCCAUGUAAGGAUACAGGGAGAUGGUGGCCACCUGCCAGCCAGGAAGAGGGCCCUCACCAGAAACUGAAUCAGCUAACUUCUUGUUGUUGGCCAUCCAGCCUCCAGAACUGUGGACACGAAUUUCUGUUGUUUAAGCCACCCAGUCUAUAGUAUUUUGUUAUGGCAAUCCAAGCAGACUAAGACAAUGGGUAUUGCUUUGCUGAUGAUGAGUUUGGGCCAUGAGAUAGAAC